UUCUGGCAAGUGGAUGUUCGAAGGAUUUUGGCCAUUCCACUACCAUUAUGUGAGAUGCCAGAUUUCCUGGCAUGGAACAUGACAAAGUCAGGGACUUUCACGAUGCGAUCUGCAUACCAUACAGAAUGGGAAUUUCAAUUUGGGCACAAGUUGGAAUCAAUGGCUGGAGCUUCAAACCCAUCUUAUACAUGGGACUCGGUAUGGAACUUAGUCUGCCCAACAAAGAUACAAAUAUUUAUGUGGCGUGCGCUCCAGACUGCUAUUCCCUGUCGGUCUAUCUUGGCUAAUAAGCACUUGAAAAUAAAUCUGAGUUGCCCAGCCUGUAACCAGGGGCCUGAUGACAUAAGACAUAUGUUGUUCGAAUGCAAAUUGGCAAUGGACGUGUGGAAGAUGCUCGGUCUUGAGCUUGUUAUCAAACAUGCACUGAAAGUUUACAAGGCAGGUGAGCUUGUGUUGGCACAUCUUCUGUGCCUUCCAGAACAACAAAUCCAAGUGUUGGGCUUGCCGAAGUUCAGAGAAACGAUGGCAACAACGGCUUGGUAUUUGUGGUAUGAAAGGCGAAAAUUGAUACAUGACGAAGAAACUCAAAGUGCAUAUCAAAUCAAUAUGCCAGUGAGAGGCUUAGUAGCAAAUCUACCAUUCUUAAGAAGUUGCUCCUCACUUCUCCCUAUUCUCUCAACAUGCAGCCCGUCCACAUCAUCAUCUAGCCAUGUCUGCUAUUCUCCUGAUUUUCCUUGCCUAUCUCACCUUAACUAUCGCGAGCAUAAAUGCAACAGAUAA
rnacentral:rRNA from 1 species